GGAGGUAUGGUUCAGAUGGUAGAAUGCCUGCUACCUAGUAAGCAUGAGGCCCUGAGUUCAAUUCCCAGUACUGCCA
rnacentral:tRNA from 1 species